AGAGUUUGAUCAUGGCUCAGGACGAACGCUGGCGGCGUGCCUAACACAUGCAAGUCGAACGGUCCUUAUAUUUAAAGCAAUUUAGAUAUAAGGAUAGUGGCGGACGGGUGAGUAACGCGUGGGUAACCUGCCCAACAGACCGGGACAACACUUGGAAACGGGUGCUAAUACCGGAUAAGCUUUUCUUCUGGCAUCAGAGGGAAAGGAAAGGCGGCCUCUAUAUAAAAGCUGCCGUUGUUGGAUGGACCCGCGUCUGAUUAGCUAGUUGGUGGGGUAAAGGCCUACCAAGGCGACGAUCAGUAGCCGGCCUGAGAGGGUGAACGGCCACACUGGGACUGAGACACGGCCCAGACUCCUACGGGAGGCAGCGGUGGGGAAUCUUCCGCAAUGGACGCAAGUCUGACGGAGCAACGCCGCGUGUAUGACGAAGGCCUUCGGGUUGUAAAAUACUGUCUUUGGGGACGAAUGUUAGCUAUGAAAAUAUUGUAGUUAAAUGACGGUACCCGAGGAGGAAGCCCCGGCUAACUACGUGCCAGCAGCCGCGGUAAUACGUAGGGGGCGAGCGUUGUCCGGAAUCAUUGGGCGUAAAGGGCGCGUAGGCGGAUAGUUAAGUCCGAUGUGAAAUACCAAGGCUCAACCUUGGGGCUGCAUCGGAAACUGGUUAUCUUGAGGACAGGAGAGGAAAGUGGAAUUCCUAGUGUAGCGGUGAAAUGCGUAGAUAUUAGGAGGACACCAGUGGCGAGGCGACUUUCUGACUGUACUGACGCUGAGCGCGAAAGCGUGGGGAGCAAACAGAUAAGAUACCCUGUAGUCCACGCCGUAACGAUGAGUGCUAAGGUGUAGAGGGAUCGACCCCUUCUGAGCCGGAGUAACACAAUAAGCACUCCGCUUGGG
rnacentral:rRNA from 1 species